GAUGAACGCUGGCGGCGUGCCUAAUACAUGCAAGUCGAGCGAACAGACGAGGAUCUUGCUCCUCUGACGUUAGCGGCGGACGGGUGAGUAACACGUGGAUAACCUACCUAUAAGACUGGGAUAACUUCGGGAAACCGGAGCUAAUACCGGAUAAUAUAUUGAACCGCAUGGUUCAAUAGUGAAAGACGGUUUUGCUGUCACUUAUAGAUGGAUCCGCGCCGCAUUAGCUAGUUGGUAAGGUAACGGCUUACCAAGGCAACGAUGCGUAGCCGACCUGAGAGGGGGAUCGGCAACACUGGAACUGAGACACGGUCCAGACUCCUACGGGAGGCAGCAGUAGGGAAUCUUCCGCAAUGGGCGAAAGCUUGACGGAGCAACGCCGCGUGAGUGAUGAAGGUCUUCGGAUCGUAAAACUCUGUUAUUAGGGAAGAACAAAUGUGUAAGUAACUAUGCACGUCUUGACGGUACCUAAUCAGAAAGCCACGGCUAACUACGUG
rnacentral:rRNA from 1 species